UGUUAAAUGCUGACGUGGCCAGAUACGGGACCCAUUUUUUAUUAAAAAAUUAAUUAAAUAUUUUUAAAAAUUAAUUAAAUAUUAAAAAUUAAAAAAAAACAAAAAAAACCCAUCAACCCGUGUCCCCCCUCCCCAACAACCUAGAUCCCCUUAUCUGAGUUCUCUCCCACCCAACCCCCCUCUCUCUCCUCUCUCUCUCUCUCUCUUCUCUCUCCCUGCAACAUGCAUCCCUAAAAUCCCAAAACCCAUAAAUCUUUCCCACCCGUCCCCCCCCCCCCAACCUUUCUCUCCGAUCCCACCGAUGAGAACCCUACCUCUGUCAUUGACUCUAGCAAUGACAGCCACGACCCCCAAUCGCCCCCAAACCCUAACUCUAGCCACAACCUCCAUAACAACAUUCCCUUAUCCUUUUCGCCCCCGGAGUUUUCCCUCCGGCGAUUUGCGAGAGAAAAACAAAACAAUAAUAACAACAACAACAAUCCCAAUAGAAAAACUCUCUGUUUUUCCUAAAAAAUUCCCAGGUUUUCAGAGAAAAUCAGAGGAGGUGCGAGAAAUAGAGAGAGAGAGUUGUGAUAUGAGAGUGGCUCUCUUUGGUAUGAGUUUCCAAUAAAUGGUGUAUAUAGGCGGGUCGGAUGAGGAAAAGAGAAUGGAGGUGAAGUCCAUCGCGAUGGGUUUUAAGAGGGCGAAGCCUCUGCACAAUUUCAACUUGACUUGGUAUUUGAAGUGGGGGAACCAGAAGCACCUGUGGUGCCAGAAGGAGAGCUCUGACGCCAGCGGGAGUGGCGGGGUUAAUCGGCGAUUGUCGGCUCAAAGGAUUGAGAGCUCGCCGACGAUGAUGACUCAGGUGGGAAUGGUUUAUGGGUUUUGGGAUUUUAGGGAUGCAGGUUGCAGGGAGAGAGAAGAGAGAGAGGCGAAAGAUGAGAUAGUGGGUUGGGUGGGGGAGAACUCAGAGAAGGGGAUCUGGGUUUUUGGGGUGGGGGGGGGGGGCACACGGGUUGAUUGGAAUAAACACCCCCAGUUGUGUCCUAGGAACAAGCACAACUGAUUCUAAGGCAUCGAAACCUUUGUCCUUCGAGUUCGUGGUUUUCUGAUUCUUCCAGGCGUUACUCACGUGUACGGCAACCUGAGCGCGUGGAGGUCUCGAUUGAUUCCUUGGUCUAAUUUUCCGCGAAUCGCAAUCCGACGGUGGCGAUUGCGUCGGCGUAGAACCAAUCGACAAAAGUGGAUCUCUUCAAUGUGUAUUUUCGACGAGCCAGUUUGGAACGCAAUGGCCAGAUUAGUGGCAAUGAAGCAGUCGCUUUCUUCCAGGGCUCCGGUCUCCCCAAACAGAUUUGGGCACGUGCAGACCCGGGGCAGACUAGUUUCCUUGGUCAGGCAGAGUUUUACAAUGCCCUUAGAAUUGUCACUGUGGCACAAGUAAGAGAGAACUUACGCCAGAAAUGGUGAAGGCAGCAUGAUAUGGCCCGGCUGAAGCUAGAAUACCUGCACCCAAGAUAAAUCUUGCAGCAACACCCGACUCAUCGUUUGGAGAUGAUGUGUUUUCUGCAACCCCAUCUUAACCAAAGCAGAAUUUUCCUUCUGGCAACGUACUUAUCUCAUCAGCCAUUGUACCAGUAUUUGUUGGGACCCAGUCUUCAGCUAGCCCAAGUACCCAGGUUGGUAGCCAGCCUCAGCAGGCCCGGUCAUUUGCAAAAGCAAACCAGCAGGUCUCAGACUAGUGCUACUAGAGUUUCAUCCAGUGCUGGGAACUCUGCUUCUAGUCAGUCUCAUAUAUCAUGGCUUAGUUUGACGCAAACUGAUGUUCAGAAGUACACCAAUAUUUUUGUGAAAGUUGACGCAUACAGAUGGGAAGAUCACUGGUGCACAAACCCGCGACCUAUUUCUGAAAUAGGGACGACCAAGAGGUAGUCCUAUUUUCUUUUUAUUCAUCUUUUGGCUUGUGUUUUACAGGCACAGGUGCCAUAUAUGUGCUUAUUGAAGCUCUUUUCUUCAGUUUGUUUCUCUUCAUGUUAGCUGUUAACUGAACUGAUGCAUCUUUGCAAAACUUGUACUAUCCCUAUCCCGGAGUUAAGGUUGUUUAUUUUUCCUCUUCUGGGUGGUGGAUGAUUGACAAUGUUUUAGUUGUUGGAGUUUAGCUUGAAUCCCUGAACAUAACAGGCUAGAUCAAGCAUAUUUUUCUGCGAGAUGCUUUGCUGCUGGA